GAUCUCCUGGAGGAGGGCAUGACAACCCACUCCAGUAUUCUUGCCCGGAAAAUCCCCAUGGACAGAGGAGCCUGGUGGGCUACAGUGUGUGGGGUCGCAAAGAGUCGGACACGACUGAAUGACAAGCACAGCACAUGCCAUGUCAAAUCCAAAAGAAAAAAAAACCAUGUUAGAAAACAUGAGUUUAAAUAUUUUAAGGCAAGCACUCAAAAAACUCAGUAAUGGCUUAGAAAAGAAAACCAAAAAGCCAAGAUAGUCAGUCCUCUCCUAGAUGAUGAAAUCAAGUGGAGAUAAUGAAACCAAUGUUCUGUGACAAGCUCUGGGCGGGUCCCUCUCUCUCUAGCUGCCUUCUGUUGCUUCUCUUCAAACAGCUUUAUUGAGGUAGAAUUGGCAAUGAACCGCAUAUAUUAAAAAUGUACUGUUUGAUGACUCUCACACACAUAUACCUGUGAAGCCAUUAUUGCAAUCAAAGAUAAAUGUUUCCAUUGCCCCAAAUUCUUCCUCUUUGUGAUCAGGCCCUCCUGUUCCUCCCUGCCUGCCCAGCCCCAAGUAACCACUGUUUUGUCACUAGGCAUGAAUUUGCAUAGUUCAGAAUUUAUGUAAAUAGAAACAUAUGGUAUGUACUCUUUUUAUUUGACUUCACUAAGCAUCAUUCUUUUGAGAUUUAUCCAUGUCCUUUCAUAUAUUAAUGGUCAUUCCUUUUAUUGCCAAGUAGUAUUCCAUUGGAUGGAUGUUCCACAGUUUGUUUAGCUAAUUGCCUGUUGAUACACAUUUGGGCUGUUUCCAGCUUUGGACUAUUUAUGGCAAAUAAAGUUGCUAUGAACAUUCACAUACAUGUCUUUGUGUGGAUAUAAACUUCCAUUUCUCUUGGGUAAAUGCUUUUGAGUGGAAGGGCUGGGUCAUGUAUGUAUUGUUUCACUUAAAAAUUUUUUUUUGUUCAAUUCUGAUUUUUUAAAAAAAUCUUGUUUCACUUUUUAAGAAAAAGCCAAGCUGUUUUGCAAAGUUGUUGGACCAUGUGCAUUCCAACCAGCUGUGCAGGAGAGUUCUAGUUCCUCCAAGUCUUCCUUAACACUUGGGGAUCUUCCCCACCCCGGGCUUGAAUCCAGGUCUCCCGUAUUGCAGGCGGAUUCUUGACCAGCUGAGCCACCGGAGAAGCCCUCAACGUGUAACAGAGAUAAAAAGGAGGCAAACGCUUUUAGAAAAAUGGCACCGAUGGACUUGCCUGACACAGGGUUGCUACAAACCUUCAGUUUGUAAACACAGUCUGCAAAGUACAAUAAAAUGACGUGCAAUGAAGCGAGGUCUGCCAGCAUACAUGUGUGUGUUCAGUCACUCAGCGGUGUCCCACUCUGCGGCUCCCUGGACUGUAGCCCACCAGGCUCCUCUGUCCAUGGGGUUCUCCAGGCAAGAAGCUUAGAGCAGGCUGUUAUCUCCUCCAGGGGAUUGUCCCGACCCAGGGAUGGAACACGCGUCUCCUAUGUCUCCUACGUUGCCAGGAUUCUUUACUGCUCGUGCCACCUAGGAAGCCUGCUGGUAUACAUGUUCUUUGGUAAAGUGUCUAUUGAAAUCUUUUGCUUUUAAAAAUAGGAUUGUUGGACUUACCCUGGUGGCUCAGUGGACAAGAAUCCACCUGCCAAUGAAGGGAACGUGGGUUCCAUCCCUGGUCCAGGAAGAUUCCACAUGGUGCAGAGCAACUAAGCCCUUACACCACAACUAAUGAGCCUGUGUGCCAUGACCCUCAAGCUCAUGCCCACAGGAGAAGCCACUGCAAUAAGAAGUGCAAGGGCUACAACGAAGAGUAGUCCCCGCUGGCUGCAACUAGCAAAAGCCGGCUCACGGCAACGAAGACCCAGCAUAGCCACAAAUAAAUAUUUUUUUAAAUAGAAUUAAAAUUCCAGCUUUGAGAUACAAAUGACAUAAAACAUAUUGAAAGGUUAAAGUGUACCGUGUGAUGAUUUGAUACACAUAUAUUGUGAAAUGAUUACAAUUAGUUAACACCA